rnacentral:rRNA from 1 species
AUUGAACGCUGGCGGCAGGCCUAACACAUGCAAGUCGAGCGAGCGGCGGACGGGUGAGUAAUGUAUGGUGACUGUCCGUUAUAGGGGGAUAACUGCUGGAACACGUUUCUAAUACCGCACACUCUCGGAUUCUCCAUAUGGGAUUAGCUAGUCGGUGGGGUAAUGGCUCACCUAGGCGACGACCCCUAGAUGGUCUGAGAGGAUGAUCAGCCACACUGGGACUGAGACACGGCCCAGACUCCUACGGAGGCAGCAGUGGGGAAUAUUGCACAAUGGGCGAAAGCCUGAUGCAGCCAUGCCGCGUGUAUGAAGAAGGCCCUAGGGUUGUAAAGUACUUUCAGUCGGGAGGCGUUACCGACAGAAGAAGCACCGGCUAACUCCGUGCCAGCAGCCGCGGUAAUAC